GUAAAGGAGGAGAAACAGGGAGGGAGCGUCAUGGCUAUGGCUUUGUGUUUCGCGUUUUCGUUAUUUUUGUUUUCGUUAUUUUUGAUUUCUUUUUCUUUGACUUAUAUUCCGUUCUU
rnacentral:ribozyme from 14 species